GAUGAACGCUGGCGGCGUGCUUAAUACAUGCAAGUCGAACGAGGAGCUUUUGUCUUCGGACGAGAGAUUUCCUAGUGGCGAACGGGUGAGUAACGCGUUGGUGACCUGCCCCGAAGAAGGGGAUAACAGUUCGAAAGAGCUGCUAAUACCCUAUGUUAUCAGUUGGAUUAGAUGCCUACUGAUUAAAAGAAGUAAUUCGCUUUGGGAGGGACCUGCGUCCCAUCAGCUAGUUGGUAGGGUAACGGCCUACCAAGGCAAUGACGGGUAGGGGACCUGAGGGGGUGACCCCCCACAAUGGCACUGAAACACGGGCCAUACACCUACGGGUGGCAGCAGUAGGGAAUAUUGGACAAUGGGCGAAAGCCUGAUCCAGCAACGCCGCGUGCACGAUGACGGCCUUCGGGUUGUAAAGUGCUUUUAGAGGAGAUGAGAAAGGACAGUAUCCUCUGAAUAAGCCUCGGCGAACUACGUGCCAGCAGCCGCGGUAAAACGUAGGAGGCAAGCGUUAUCCGGAUUUAUUGGGCGUAAAGCGCGUGCAGGCGGUUUAACAAGUUGGAUGUGAAAGCUCCUGGCUUAACUGGGAGAGGUCGUUCAAUACUGUUAGACUAGAGAAUGGGAGAGGGAGGUGGAGUUCCGGGUGUAGUGGUGAAAUGCGUAGAUAUCCGGAGGAACACCAGUGGCGAAAGCGGCCUCCUAGACCAUUUCUGACGCUAAGACGCGAAAGCUAGGGUAGCAAACGGGAUUAGAGACCCCGGUAGUCCUAGCUGUAAACGAUGUAGACUUGGCGUUGGCGGAGUUAAAUCUGCCAGUGCCGUAGCUAACGCGAUAAGUCUACCGCCUGGGGACUACGAUCGCAAGAUUA
rnacentral:rRNA from 1 species